rnacentral:rRNA from 1 species
CUACGGGAGGCAGCAGUAGGGAAUCUUGCACAAUGGGCGAAAGCCUGAUGCAGCAACGCCGCGUGCGCGAUGAAGGCCUUCGGGUCGUAAAGCGCUUUUCUGGGAGACGAGGAAGGACGGUAUCCCAGGAAGAAGGCUCGGCUAACUACGUGCCAGCAGCCGCGGUAAAACGUAGGAGCCAAGCGUUAUCCGAAUUUACUGGGCGUAAAGCGCGUGCAGGCGGCUCGAUAAGUUGGCUGUGAAAUCUCCUGGCUCAACUGGGAGAGGCCGGUCAAGACUGUCGGGCUGGAGGGCAGUAGAGGGAGGUGGAAUUCCCGGUGUAGUGGUGAAAUGCGUAGAGAUCGGGAGGAACACCAGUGGCGAAAGCGGCCUCCUGGACUGUACCUGACGCUCAGACGCGAAAGCUAGGGGAGCGAACGGGAUUAGAUACCCCGGUAGUCCC